rnacentral:rRNA from 1 species
UACGUAGGGUCCGAGCGUUGUCCGGAAUUACUGGGCGUAAAGAGCUCGUUAGGUGGUUUGUCGCGUUGUUCGUGAAAACUCACAACUCAAUUGUGGGCGUGCGGGCUGAUACGGGCAGACUGGAGUACUGCAGGGGAGACUGGAAUUCCUGGUGUAGCGGUGGAAUGCGCAGAUAUCAGGAGGAACACCGGUGGCGAAGGCGGGUCUCUGGGCCGUAACUGACGCUGAGGAGCGAAAGCGUGGGGAGCGAACAGG